GGUCUGUUAGCUUAGUUGGUAGAGCGUGGUACUAAUAUUCCUGAGGGGUAUCAAUGCCAAGGUCAUGGGUUCGAGCCCCAUACGGACCA
rnacentral:tRNA from 1 species